CAGCAGAAUGUAAUAUUGUAGAUUAAGUUUCUGCUAAGCAAUUUCACAGAAAAAAAUACAAACAAAAUAUGUCAUUGGUUGAGAGUGAUGCGGUGGCAGAAUUCUUGCCUAGGACACAUGAGACUUUGGGUUCUGCCUCCCAACACUACCCCCUUCCAAAAGUCUGAAUUAUGAUGCAGAAAUUUCCUUCACACACAUCUAACAAGCGCCACACAAUGAGUACUAGAGACUUAGAAGGUUGUUAAGGUGGCCUCUGACUAGGGAACACAUGAUCUCAUGCAGGAGGUAUGUAGCCUCUAAAUGGCCACUUCAUCUCUAAACUUGAACAUUUCUAAUUCACAAUCACUGUGUAUCCUAGCAUUGCAUGGUGGCUGUUGACUUUUUUUUUUUUUAAGAAGCAAUAUAGUUAGAAGGGAAAGGGGGUUGUCAGGCAGAUGUGUGGACAGCCAUGCUGGCUACAUGUUAAGGAUUAGGGGGAACCUUGAACACAGUCCCAAAGCAAUGGACAAGACUGGCAUGAAAUGAGCUGGGGAAAGAGUCUUCUAGAAAGUGGGCCGGCCUUACAGGAGCAAAAAUUCGUGGUAAUUCCGAGCCUUGAAAUGCCAGGGUGGGGGAUCUCCACCUGCUCAGAGGAGAAGGGGAGGGGGGAAGGAUUGUGGGAGGGCGUGGCUGGGAAAGGGCAGUGAGAGGGAUAUAAAGUAAGUAAAAGAUAAAAUAAAAAUUUUAAAAAUUACACCAUUCAUUCAUUCAUUCAUUCAUUCGCGUGUGUGUGUGUGCUCGCAUAGGCACACAUGACCCCGCACUUGUGUGGAGGUCAGAGGACAACUUGCAAUAGUUCUCUCCUACCUUGUGGGCAAUGGGAUCAUAUCCAGGUUGUCAGGCUUGGCAACAGAGUGCCUUUACCC
rnacentral:lncRNA from 1 species